UACGUAGGGGGCAAGCGUUGUCCGGAUUUAUUGGGCGUAAAGGGCGCGUAGGCGGUUUCUUAAGUUUGGAGUGACAGUGGGUGGCUUAACUACCCAAGGCCUUUGAAAACUGGGGAACUUGAGGACCAGAGAGGGACAUAGAAUUCCGGGUGGAGUGGUGAAAUGCGUAGAUAUCCGGAGGAAUACCAAAGGCGAAGGCAGUGUCCUGGAGGGUAACUGACGCUGAGGCGCGAAAGCUAGGGGAGCGAACAGG
rnacentral:rRNA from 1 species